AUAUUCUUAACCAAAAAAUACCACUGUACAUUUUAUUAUAAAUUGAUAUCCAACACAUUAAUAGGAGAGGGAGUACUUUGCUAGGUCAAUCAAGACAGCUACACAAAAAAGAAAGCAGUUUCUGGUUCCCAGUCUGCUUUUGGAUAGAAAAUCUCUUCCACAGAAUAUUUUAUUUCAAGAACCCCUACAAUUUGCAAAGUGGAUCUGAAAUGCCUUAUUUCCAUGUAAAAUGCUUUAUUUACCCAUAGUUCACACUUUUGGAAGGUUUUAUUGAGAAAACAUAAGUGAUAGUUUAUUUGUAAGGAACUCACUAUUAAGACUUUAACUAAAUAUGACACUGAGUCACUAUGAGAAGGGUACUUUUUUAAAGGGCACAUAAUUUUUUUACCAUUGUGGCAAAAAUGUAAGUCUUUCAUUGUUUAAAUGUUCCAAUAUUAAACAAAAGUCCUAACAGAAUAAACUGUCAGUAAUCAUUCUCUACUAGUUCAAUGCCUAAAUGACUUACCUCCUGUGAUAAGAUCAUAAUAG